rnacentral:rRNA from 1 species
GGUGAAGCCCUUUUUUGGGUGGAUGAGUGGCGAACGGGUGAGUAACACGUGAGUAACCUGCCCCCUUCUUCUGGAUAACCUCAUGAAAGUGGGGCUAAUACGGGAUAUUCUGGUCUGUGCGCAUGCAUGGGUUGGGAAAGGUAUUGUUCUGGUGGGGGAUGGGCUCGCGGCCUAUCAGCUUGUUGGUGGGGUGAUGGCCUACCAAGGCGGUGACGGGUAGCCGGCCUGAGAGGGUGGACGGCCACACUGGGACUGAGACACGGCCCAGACUCCUACGGGAGGCAGCAGUGGGGAAUAUUGCACAAUGGGCGCAAGCCUGAUGCAGCGACGCCGCGUGAGGGAUGGAGGCCUUCGGGUUGUGAACCUCUUUCGCCAGUGAAGCAGGCUCAUCUCUUUGUGGGUGGGUUGACGGUAGCUGGAUAAGAAGCGCCGGCUAACUACGUGCCAGCAGCCGCGGUAAUACGUAGGGCGCGAGCGUUGUCCGGAAUUAUUGGGCGUAAAGAGCUCGUAGGCGGCUGGUCGCGUCUGUCGUGAAAUCCUCUGGCUUAACUGGGGGCUUGCGGUGGGUACGGGCCGGCUUGAGUGCGGUAGGGGAGACUGGAAUUCCUGGUGUAGCGGUGGAAUGCGCAGAUAUCAGGAGGAACACCGGUGGCGAAGGCGGGUCUCUGGGCCGUUACUGACGCUGAGGAGCGAAAGCGUGGGGAGCGAACAGGAUUAGAUACCCUGGUAGUCCACGCCGUAAACGUUGGGCACUA